CAUGAUAUAAAGGAUCAUGUAUCAAUGGGUAUUUGUUUUUUGAACCGCAAAGAUUUAUAACAUAAACAAGAGUAUAAGGAGUACUCUAAUCAACUACAAAAAAGAAAAGAGGUGCAACACAUCAAAUGAAACAAUAGCACACGCCAAAAGCAAUACAGAAGAACUACAUUAUAAUCCAAAGUAAUCAAAAUUGGGUUGGCCAUUUAACUGGUAUAGGCAGCCGUUCAAGGUUUAAAGGUCUCACCGGAGUCGCACUGGUACUAAUAUAAUAUCUUAAAUUUUAUUUUUAAUAUAAUAUAUAAAUUAAUAAUAAAUAAAAAAUAACAUAAUAUUGGCAUCAGUCUACUUCUCAUGUUGUAUUCAUGGUUCGAACAAGCAGAAGUAUUGGCAUAGUCUACUUUAACGAGGAUAUGUUUUAUUUGGUGGAGAUGUUCUUGAUAUAUUGCAAAUUGAUUUCGCAAUGUUUUGAGCAGGAGGGGUGGCAUCAAUUCUUAGCAUUGGUACUGUGUUAGUAUGGGUGUAUUUAUGCAAUACAAAUUGUAUUAGAUAUCAUGGCAUAUUUGUGUUUGUGGACUUUAUUCAUUAAUAAGAGUGUUUUUUUUUUUUUUGCCUUUGUAAAAUAAAUAAAAAUAGUUUAAUUUUUUACUUUUGAAGAAGCACAGCCACAUAAAAAAGCUUUGGCGUUUCUCUUUUUGUCUUGCAUAAGUCUCGUAUUGGUAAGUUUAAAAUAUACAGGGUAGAAUAUUUGAUAUAAAAUGAAGUGUAUAUGACAUUGAAACUUUAAAUCAAAUCACUUUGGCAUGAUUUGGGUUAGUUUAGGCCUUCAAUUGUGAGGCCCAUUUCACCCAUAAUGCAAAAUGAUCAUUUUUUGGAUUUUUGAUAACUUUUUUUAAAUAAAAAAAAAAAAGUAAAAAAUAAAAAAUUUCAGUUCAAAGUGUGGGACUCGUAUUGAUUGUAUCCAAUAAAAAAGUGAGUAUUAGAGUGAGUGUUGAAAAGAGAGUCUUGUUAACACUCCUCUAGAGAUUAAUUGAUAUUCUCAUAUUAGUAUGCUGAUUUGGUUCAUCUUGUAGAUUGGAUAAAAUCCAUAUACUAGCAACGAUUUUUGGCUAAAUCGAAGGAAGCGUCUUGUUUGUUUCUCUGAAUUGUCUAUAAUUUAUAUACUACCAAUAGUUUUUCACAGAUAUCUCUGGAUUAGAUAUGUCGAUGUGUCUGACACACGUACGACACGUGUGCAAUUCAGACAAGUGUCCCAAUUUUUUUCUUUAAUUCGAUACACCUUAACACCCUUUGACACAUCUCAGACACAUCUACAUGAGGUUAAAUAUGUGUCAAAGCAAUGAUGAUUAAUGAGGGAGGUUAAACGUGUUUAGCUUUUUGGUAGUAGAUGGAUCAACGAAGGAGGAAACUAUCGUAUCUUAUUUUAAAAUUUGUUUGUAAUGAAAAAAAUUGCUUAAUUUGUAUGUACAUAUAUAUUUUGAUUCUCAAUUUAGAUAUUUUAUAAAUGAUAUUCAUAAUUUAUUUAAUUAUAAUAAAAAAUAAAUAUAUGUAUAUAGAUAACAAUUAGAUCUAGACUCAGUGGGUACCCGCAAAAAAAUCUAAAAUGCGUAGGUUAAAACCCGCAUAUUGUGUAUAGGGACAGGUAAUUAUCCGCAAAAUUGAACGAGUAUGAGUGUAAGUACGAGUACUAUAGAACCCUACCCAAAUCCUACCCAUUGUCAUCCCUAUACAUUCAGUGUUCUAUGUUUUUACAUUGGCAAUGUUGACAUGUUCGUGUCGGUCUCAAAGUCUUUGCUUCAUAGGUUAUAAUUCUAGAUAUAAAUAGUCUGUACUCCCUCUUAUGUUGGUGUUAGUAUGUGGUUUGUUUUGCAUCUAUCUUAUCUUGUUAAAGGGUUAGAUUAGCCUUAUACUCUUUAUCAAUAAAUUUUCUAUGUUCUUAAAAUAAAAACAUGGCAAUUGAUAAAAAAAAAAUGUUAUUACCUGAUAAAAAAACAGACAUAGUACAUCACAGUGCCUUUAUUUCCUGCGCUGGACCAACAUUCAUUAAAUAAUGUUAGAACAGGAUUGACAUAUAAACUCUGCAAACAAAUAUACAUACAUCAAGUAAUUAUCUUGUAUCGAUUACAUUUGUUGAGUUUACAAAAUGAAUGGAAAAAAAAAUCCAAUUGCAAUCAAAUAUUUAUGAAAUUGUAAGCUCUAGGAAUAAAAUUAUAAUUGAAACUAUCAGUUAUGAAUAUUACUCCCAAAAUUACACAAAUGCAAUAGCAAUUUGAGGUGCAACUCACACUUUGUUUCUAUUUUGAGUGAUGAAUAUUCUAUAUGAUUGAUCAAUAGACGAAAAAUGGUGUAAUGGGUGACGAUAUCCAAAGUAAUAAUCAAACCUAAAAUCAUUAGAAAUGCAUAAAACAGAGAACUGUGCCUUAUUCUUCUACGUCUAUAUAAAGUCAAAUAGAAAUAGAAUAGAGUGUUAAUAGACAAUACCUUUACGAUUUUGGUUCACAAAAAACUCUUCCACAACUUUGAUUGUGCAAACUGGUGUUGUUUCAAAGGAUAAAAUCUAUGUAUAUAAACAAGCGUAAGCCGUAUUAUUAGGCGAAGGAUAAACUUAAAGGAAAUGCAAGAGGAUGGAUAGAGGAAUUGAAGGGUUACAAUUACAAUGUGAGCAUUCGUUUUGAUGAGCAAGUUGCCGCUGUGUUUCUCAAGUUUCACCACUUCAGUCUUGCCACCAGUUU
rnacentral:lncRNA from 1 species